GCUCAGCUGCUCCUAGCUCAGCAAGCAGGGCCUAGAAAGCACUGGGGGCCCUGCUGGGCUCAUCAGCACUCUGCUCAUCCUUCUUCUCCUAGCUCCCAUCCCUGUUCCUGCUUUCACGGCUGGUACCACCGGGAGCCGGAGCACGGUGGGGAUAACCCUGUCCCGCUACGGAGGGAUGCUGCGGCUCUCCCCUCGGUGCUAGGGCUGCUCCGGGCGCCUUCCCCCGCUGCAAAUCGGCCUGGGGCGGCGGGGCGAGGCCAGGAAAGCGUUAACCUUCCCUGCAAUGCUGCAUCCCAGCUCACGGUGGAGCUGCCUUCCUCUCUUCCACCCCCAACUUCCAAUUCACUCCAAACAACUCCGGGACAGAAUUGCAGGGAAAAGCUGGAGGUUCAGCCUCGACUUGUUGAUCUCCGUUUACGAGGCAGCAGAAGGAAGCACCGGAGCUUUCCUUUGUGUCCUCGCCGGGAGAAGGGCGGGGGAAGGAGGGCAGAUGCGGCUUCGGCGUUGACGGCGGGCAGGAGCGAGGAGCCGCAGCCGAGGGAAGGCCUCGGAAAAGCUUCCUGCCGAGGGAUCCGAUUUACCUCCUUUCGCUUCCCCUCCCCCUGGGCUUCGCGGACAGACGGGAGCGCGGCCGCCAUCCCUGCGCCUCGAGGCUGUCCGCGGGGGGAUGCGAGCGGGGCCGCCCCGGCUGCCCGCCCCGACGCACCAUGUAGCCGCCCUCGGCCCCGCACAGCCCCGCACCGCCUCGCUGGGAGCCCGCAGGAGGAGGUAGGUGCGGGCCGGGCUCGGCCCGGAGGAGGGGAGCCUUCCCCCGGCCGGGGAGCAGCGGCCGUGUUUCGCUGCCAGGGUGGGGGGCACCUAGAUCGGCGGGGAGAGGGGCAGAGCCCCCCCGGAGCUGCGCGGCUGGGCAGGGAGAAGCCGUUCCUUCCUGCGCCGGGGUUUCUCUUCGUGCCAUCUUGUGUAAGCAACAGUGCUCGGGGCUGUUCUAAGCCGCUGGCUUUGCGAGGAAGGCUCGGGGGUGGUUCUUAUUCCCGUUUUCGUUGGUUUCCCUCUUAUGCAGAGGGCUGCGUGGAGUGGGGGGGGUGGGCGUCCCUGGGUAGCCCGGAGAGGUAG
rnacentral:lncRNA from 1 species